rnacentral:rRNA from 1 species
UGGCGGACGGGUGAGUAAUAUAUCGGAACGUGCCUUGUAAUGGGGGAUAACUAGUCGAAAGAUUAGCUAAUACCGCAUACGCCCUGAGGGGGAAAGUAGGGGAUCUUCGGACCUUACGUUAUAAGAGCGGCCGAUAUCUGAUUAGCUAGUUGGUGGGGUAAUGGCCUACCAAGGCUUCGAUCAGUAGCUGGUCUGAGAGGACGACCAGCCACACUGGAACUGAGACACGGUCCAGACUCCUACGGGAGGCAGCAGUGGGGAAUUUUGGACAAUGGGCGCAAGCCUGAUCCAGCCAUUCCGCGUGAGUGAAGAAGGCCUUCGGGUUGUAAAGCUCUUUCGCAAGGGAAGAAAACUUACUUUCUAAUAAAGAGUGAGGCUGACGGUACCUUGAUAAGAAGCACCGGCUAACUACGUGCCAGCAGCCGCGGUAAUACGUAGGGUGCGAGCGUUAAUCGGAAUUACUGGGCGUAAAGCGUGCGCAGGCGGUUUGGCAAGUCAGAUGUGAAAUCCCCGAGCUCAACUUGGGAACUGCGUUUGAAACUGCCAGACUAGAAUAUGUCAGAGGGGGGUAGAAUUCCACGUGUAGCAGUGAAAUGCGUAGAGAUGUGGAGGAAUACCAAUGGCGAAGGCAGCCCCCUGGGAUAAUAUUGACGCUCAUGCACGAAAGCGUGGGGAGCAAACAGGAUUAGAUACCCUGGUAGUCCACGCCCUAAACGAUGUCUACUAGUUGUUGGUGGAGUAAAAUCCAUGAGUAACGCAGCUAACGCGUGAAGUAG